rnacentral:tRNA from 1 species
GUGGAUGUAGCUCAGCAGGUAGAGCACCUGGUUGUGGUCCAGGAUGUCGCGGGUUCGAGCCCCGUCAUUCACC